rnacentral:rRNA from 1 species
CCUACGGGUGGCAGCAGUGAGGAAUAUUGGUCAAUGGACGGAAGUCUGAACCAGCCAUGCCGCGUGCAGGAAGACGGCCCUAUGAGUUGUAAACUGCUUUUGUACAAGGGUAAACCUGAAUACGUGUAUUCUGCUGAAAGUACUGUACGAAUAAGGAUCGGCUAACUCCGUGCCAGCAGCCGCGGUAAUACGGAGGGUCCAAGCGUUAUCCGGAUGUAUUGGGUUUAAAGGGUGCGUAGGCGGAUUGAUAAGUUAGAGGUGAAAUGUCCGAGCUUAACUCGGGAACUGCCUCUAAUACUGUUGAUCUAGAGAGUAGAUGCGGUAGGCGGAAUGUAUGGUGUAGCGGUGAAAUGCUGAGAGAUCAUACAGAACACCGAUUGCGAAGGCAGCUUACCGGUCUAUAUCUGACGUUGAGGCACGAAAGCGUGGGGAGCAAACAGGAUUAGAUACCCGAGUAGUC